rnacentral:rRNA from 1 species
GCCUACAGCCAUGCCGCCCUGAACACGCCCGAUCUUGUCUGAUCUCGGAAGCUAAGCAGGGCCGGGCUUAGUUAGUAUUUGGAUAGGGAAAGUUCCAGAGGGCUGCAAUUU